CAUUAGAGAGCUGUAUACUUAGCACCAGCCUUUUAAGCUGGCGAAAGCACUUAAUUGCUUCUAAUGA
rnacentral:tRNA from 1 species